rnacentral:lncRNA from 1 species
AUCCAUUCUAGAUCUAAUUAUAAACUACCCAUAUCUAUGGUAGAGCCAGUAGGACUUUGCAGUAGGAUAGUCAGUGUUCAGUCUGGAUCCAUCAAAAUUAUUUCAGAAAAUGGAAUCCAAAUUCCAUGGUUCCAUGUAUUUAGGAUGGGGUUAAUGUGUUGAACCAUGUCUCCUCGAAGCUCUGCCGCAGAUGAUGAUAGAAAGAAAUAUGGGAUUUCUGAUUUGUGUCUGACGUUAGAAAUUUUAUAUUAUUGUAACAUACAUCAUGUUUGGACAGAACAUUUUAAGUUCCUUAGCAGUUUUCACCAUGUAAAGUGUAGCAUCUGUUACAAAAAGGAGAACAUUUUCUCUCUAGAUUAUCCCUCCACAAAAGUUUCA